rnacentral:piRNA from 1 species
UGGAACUCAGGUCAGAAAGCAGG